rnacentral:rRNA from 1 species
UAAAUAGAUACCCGGGUAGUCCACGCCCUAAACGAUGCGAACUGGAUGUUGGGUACAUUACGGUACUCAGUGUCGAAGCUAACGCGUUAAGUUCGCCGCCUGGGGAGUACGGUCGCAAGACUGAAACUCAAAGGAAUUGACGGGGGCCCGCACAAGCGGUGGAGUAUGUGGUUUAAUUCGAUGCAACGCGAAGAACCUUACCUGGCCUUGACAUCUGUCGAAUCCUGCAGAGAUGCGGGAGUGCCGCAAGGAACGACAAGACAGGUGCUGCAUGGCUGUCGUCAGCUCGUGUCGUGAGAUGUUGGGUUAAGUCCCGCAACGAGCGCAACCCUUGUCCCUAGUUGCCAGCACGUAAUGGUGGGAACUCUAGGGAGACUGCCGGUGACAAACCGGAGGAAGGUGGGGAUGACGUCAAGUCCUCAUGGCCCUUACGGCCAGGGCUACACACGUACUACAAUGGUCGGUACAGAGGGUUGCGAAGCCGCGAGGUGGAGCCAAUCCCAGAAAACCGAUCCCAGUCCGGAUCGGAGUCUGCAACUCGUACC